UGGGCUGGUCAUAAUGGUCCCAGGUCCAUCUAGGGUGGGGAUAGUGCCC
rnacentral:sRNA from 12 species